rnacentral:tRNA from 1 species
GGGGAAGUAGCUCAGUUGGUUAGAGUGCUACGCUCACAUCGUAGAGGCCAGCGGUUCGAGUCCGCUCUUCCCCACCA